rnacentral:rRNA from 1 species
UACGUAGGGUGCGAGCGUUGUUCGGAAUUACUGGGCGUAAAGCGCGCGUAGGCGGCUUUGUAAGUUAGAGGUGAAAGCCCGGGGCUCAACCCCGGAACUGCCUUUAAGACUGCAUCGCUUGAAUCCGGGAGAGGUGAGUGGAAUUCCGAGUGUAGAGGUGAAAUUCGUAGAUAUUCGGAAGAACACCAGUGGCGAAGGCGGCUCACUGGACCGGCAUUGACGCUGAGGUGCGAAAGCGUGGGGAGCAAACAGG